UACGUAGGGCGCAAGCGUUGUCCGGAAUUAUUGGGCGUAAAGAGCUCGUAGGCGGUUUGUCGCGUCUGCUGUGAAAACCUAAGGCUCAACCUUGGGCUUGCAGUGGGUACGGGCAGGCUGGAGGCAGGCAGGGGAGACUGGAAUUCCUGGUGUAGCGGUGAAAUGCGCAGAUAUCAGGAGGAACACCAAUUGCGAAGGCAGCUCGCUGGGACGUUACUGACGCUGAGACGCGAAAGCGUGGGGAGCAAACAGG
rnacentral:rRNA from 1 species